AUGGGCACGCCGCAGCGCCCGCGCCCGCGGCAGCUGGCGCGCACCAACGCCAUGCGGAACUCCUCCUACUCCGCGGACGUCGUCGCCUCUAGGUUGCAGCCAGCCGGCGACGGGGAGGAAGCUGGGUUGGCCACCGAAUUGGUCCAAUCGGAGACCAUACAAGUUUCAGCAAAAUCAUAUCAACGACCAUGGGCCGAAUCCAAAGCCAUAUUGGUCGAAUCAGAGAGAGUGGAGACCUCUACACGAGAGGUCACUGCUGUGUCUGAGCCGGAGAAUGCAGGUGAAGGGAAGGGGAAUGACAAAUUGGCCAAAGUGGAAAUAUCACGAGAGGAGAGGACAAGAGAAGUGGUUGUGGAGGCCACAAGGGAGAAGGCCACUGGUGCCCUGGCUCUCGUUGUUGCAGAGUCCAAUUCAUGUGACAUCGAGCAUUUGGUCUCGCCGUCGCCGAACAGGCGGUUUAGGAGAACCAUCACAUCUUGGAUCAAGGGAGGGCAUAUCGGAAGCGGAUCAUUCGGGUCAGUCUACGAGGCGAUCAGCGAUGAUGGGUUUUUCUUUGCUGUCAAGGAAGUGUCAUUGAUUGACCAAGGAAUCAAUGCAAAACAGCGCAUCGUCCAGCUUGAGCAUGAGGUAUCCCUCUUGAGUCGUUUGGAGCAUGAUAAUAUUGUUCAGUAUUAUGGAACAGACAAGGAAGAUGGCAAAUUGUAUAUUUUUCUUGAACUUGUGACCCAAGGCUCUUUGGCUGCUUUAUAUCAAAAAUAUUGUUUACAAGAUUCACAAGUAUCAGCAUAUACAAGGCAGAUUUUGAAUGGUUUGAACUAUCUACAUCAGCGAAAUGUGCUGCACAGGGACAUCAAAUGUGCAAAUAUUCUAGUUGAUGCAAAUGGUUUGGUCAAAUUGGCAGAUUUUGGGCUUGCGAAGGAGAUGUCAAUUUUGAGCCAAGCAAGAUCUAGCAAGGGAACUGUCUUCUGGAUGGCCCCUGAGGUUGCUAAGGCUAAGCCACAUGGACCUCCAGCAGAUAUAUGGAGUCUUGGCUGCACAGUUUUGGAGAUGCUGACCGGCAAAGUUCCAUACCCUGAUAUGGAAUGGACACAUGCUUUGCUCAAAAUUGGUAGGGGAAUACCACCAAAAAUUCCCAAUACGUUAUCAGAAGAUGCCCGGGAUUUCAUAGCAAAGUGUGUUCAAGCAAACCAAAAGGACCGGCCAUCUGCUGCUCAGCUGUUGGAGCACCCUUUUGUGAAGAGACCACUGCAACAUUAA
rnacentral:rRNA from 1 species